ensembl:misc_RNA Metazoa_SRP Metazoan signal recognition particle RNA
GCCGGGCACAGUGGCACAUGCCUGUAGUCCCAGCUACUCAGGAGGCUGAGGCUGGAGGAUCGCUUGAGCCCAGGAGUUCUGGGCUGUAAUGCACUAUGCCGAUCAGAUGUCUGCACUAAGUUCAGCAUCAAUAUGGUGAUCUCCCAGGAGCAGAGGACCACCAGGUUGCUUAAGUAGGGGUGAACCGGCCCAGGUCGGAAAUGGAGCGGGUCAAAACUCCCGUGCUGAUCAGUAGUGGGAUUAUGCCUGUGAAUAGCCACUGCACUCCAGCCUGGGCAACAUAGCGAGACCCCUGUCUCCU